rnacentral:rRNA from 1 species
GACGAACGCUGGCGGCGUGCUUAACACAUGCAAGUCGAACGGAAAGGCCCUGCUUUUGUGGGGUGCUCGAGUGGCGAACGGGUGGGUAACACGUGAGUAACCUGCCCUUGACUUUGGGAUAACUUCAGGAAACUGGGGCUAAUACCGGAUAGGAGCUCCUGCUGCAUGGUGGGGGUUGGAAAGUUUCGGCGGUUGGGGAUGGACUCGCGGCUUAUCAGCUUGUUGGUGGGGUAGUGGCUUACCAAGGCUUUGACGGGUAGCCGGCCUGAGAGGGUGACCGGCCACAUUGGGACUGAGAUACGGCCCAGACUCCUACGGGAGACAGCAGUGGGGAAUAUUGCACAAUGGGCGGAAGCCUGAUGCAGCAACGCCGCGUGCGGGAUGACGGCCUUCGGGUUGUAAACCGCUUUCGCCUGUGACGAAGCGUGAGUGACGGUAAUGGGUAAAGAAGCACCGGCUAACUACGUG